rnacentral:rRNA from 1 species
CUGGGGAGUACGGCCGCAAGGUUAAAACUCAAAUGAAUUGACGGGGGCCCGCACAAGCGGUGGAGCAUGUGGUUUAAUUCGAUGCAACGCGAAGAACCUUACCUACCCUUGACAUCGACAGAAGCCGGAAGAGAUUCUGGUGUGCCUUCGGGAACUGUCAGACAGGUGCUGCAUGGCUGUCGUCAGCUCGUGUUGUGAAAUGUUGGGUUAAGUCCCGUAACGAGCGCAACCCUUGUCCUUAUUUGCCAGCGGGUAAUGCCGGGA